UGACAAAUGGUCGGACUGUUAGCCA
rnacentral:piRNA from 1 species